CGCUGAACUUAAGCAUAUCAAUAAGCGGAGGAAAA
rnacentral:rRNA from 1 species